UCCACACCUGAUACUCAGAAUUUAGUGAUGGACUUGGAGAAAAGGUGGAGUCAAUCAGUAGUCAACGUCAGACAAGUCUUCCCAUAAAAUGCAUCAACACUAACACCACUAUUCACUUCUCACAGUCACCAUACUAGAUCAAUCUAGUAACAACUUAAAACUUGCAAUCUCGG